CUGAUCUAUACUUCUACUUCUUCAUAUAAUGCAAAUAAGCUAGUUUGACAUGAUCUAUGUUUCAUAAAACCAUGCUGAUUUUACUGAUAACUACAUUCUUCUCAAGGAAUUCCUGAAUAUUAUCCCUUAAGAACCUUUCAAAUAAAUACUUUCCCACAGGUCUAUAAUUUGCAGGCAUUCUACUUCAGGACUGUGUACCUUGAUAAUUCUUGGCAUUGGACCUAUCACAUAACUUCAAUUAGGUAUAGUCAACCUUUGGCACUCCAGAUAUUAUGGACUAUAUAUCCACUCAUUCUUUGCCAGCAUUGUGGCUGUUAAGAGCAUUAAGUGAGAUGUAGUCCACAACAUCUGGAGUGCCAAAGUUUGCCUAUCCCUGACUUAGAUAAUCUAUUAGAUGACUGUAUCUUCUUUUCCAAUUUAUAGGUUCUACUUUCCCAAUAGGAACUUGCCUUAUUUCUUUGGUCCCUUCACAGUGUCUGCUCCAGUCUUAUGGUAGAGUCUGCCUUCUGUGUUCCAUUGUAUCUUCCCUAUUAAGAGUGUACCCUGGAGGAAAGAGCACACGGUUUGCUUUAAAACCGGUGUAUUCAAUGCCCUUUUUGAAAGCGCUGACCCAGCCUUUACUCAUAGAAAAUUUAGAUU